UACGAAGGGGGCGAGCGUUGUUCGGAUUCAUUGGGCGUAAAGGGUGCGUAGGCGGCGGGGCAAGUCUGAUGUGAAAUCCCGGGGCUCAACCCCGGAACUGCAUUGGAUACUGCCUUGCUUGAGUACUGGAGAGGGAACUGGAAUUUACGGUGUAGCAGUGAAAUGCGUAGAGAUCGUAAGGAAGGCCAGUGGCGAAGGCGAGUUCCUGGACAGUUACUGACGCUGAGGCACGAAGGCCAGGGGAGCAAACGGG
rnacentral:rRNA from 1 species